GUGACCUCAGAUCAGGUNGGGAACC
rnacentral:rRNA from 1 species